GAAAAAUCUGAGGUCUUGUCAAAGAAGAUCCUGGACUCGAUAAGAAAUUAGUGGAGGUGACACUGGCAGGGGCAGUGGGAGAUCUGAGUUAACUCCUUGUUCUGCUCCAGACAUUCAAAACAUCCUGGACAGGCCAUUUUAUGUCAGCUUCCUGUAUGAAACAGGAUCAUAAGAACAAUUUUAGGCCUGCCAUACUGCCAUCAUUCUAUAGCAUGGCAUAGUGCACUGACGACCGUGGUGAUGGGGGACACAUCAGUGGAAAUAUAUCACGGGAAUGUGAGAUUUCUGCUGCCCUUUGAUAGUGCCAGAAUAUCUUUACACACGGAGCCAUCAGAUUCAGAAGACAGUAAAUGAAGUGCCUUUCUUUCAUGAAGACACAAAACCCCACUGCUUCUUUCAUAAAUCACAUUCAGAAGGGACAUACGUACAUGCCUUAAAGUCUGAAAUUACAGUUUUAGAAAGCUCAUGACUGAAGAAAUACUAAUAUUGGAUUUUCUUUUUCCUCACAAAACCAAUGUUGCUUUAUUUGCUACGGAAAGAUAAGGUUUCUUCAAACACGUAAGUUAAU